rnacentral:RNase_P_RNA from 1 species
GUCGGGCAGUCUGUCGCUGGCCUUUUGCAAAAAAGGCGGGAGGAAAGUCCGGGCAAUAUAGGGCACCCCACUUCUUAAUGGGAAGUAGUCCGCGAGGGUUAGAUCAUGCAGAAGAAAACAACCGCCUGUUUCGGCAGGUAAGGGUGAGAAGGCGAGGUAAGAGCUCACCAGGCGGGCGGUGACGUCCGUGCUGUGCAUUCUGGGGAUUGAAAGUUCGCGUAAACCGGCGUUAACGAAAGGCGGCCCGUCUGAGUCGGAGGGUAGAACGAUAGAGCCUUGUGGUGACACAAGGCCUGGAUAAAUGACAGACGCCUUGAUCUUCAAGGAACAGAACCCGGCUUAUCGCCCGGCUGCU